AUUGAACGCUGGCGGCAGGCUUAACACAUGCAAGUCGAGCGGGGUGAUGGUGCUUGCACUAUCACUUAGUGGCGGACGGGUGAGUAAUGCUUAGGAAUCUGCCUAUUAGUGGGGGACAACAUCUCGAAAGGGAUGCUAAUACCGCAUACGUCCUACGGGAGAAAGCAGGGGAUCACUUGUGACCUUGCGCUAAUAGAUGAGCCUAAGUCGGAUUAGCUAGUUGGUGGGGUAAAGGCCUACCAAGGCGACGAUCUGUAGCGGGUCUGAGAGGAUGAUCCGCCACGCUGGGACUGAGACACGGCCCAGACUCCUACGGGAGGCAGCAGUGGGGAAUAUUGGACAAUGGGGGGAACCCUGAUCCAGCCAUGCCGCGUGUGUGAAGAAGGCCUUAUGGUUGUAAAGCACUUUAAGCGAGGAGGAGGCUCUUUUGGUUAAUACCCAAGAUGAGUGGACGUUACUCGCAGAAUAAGCACCGGCUAACUCUGUGCCAGCAGCCGCGGUAA
rnacentral:rRNA from 1 species